rnacentral:rRNA from 1 species
CCUGGCGGCGAGAGCGCGGUGGUCCCACCUGACCCCAUGCCGAACUCAGAAGUGAAACGCCGCAGCGCCGAUGGUAGUGUGGGGCUUCCCCAUGCGAGAGUAGGGAACUGCCAGGC